CCCUUCGGGGUACUCGAGUGGCGAACGGGUGAGUAACCGUGGGUGAUCUGCCCUGCACUUUGGGAUAAGCCUGGGAAACUGGGUCUAAUACCGAAUAGGACCACGCGCUUCAUGNNNUGUGGUGGAAAGCUUUUGCGGUGUGGGAUGGGCCCGCGGCCUAUCAGCUUGUUGGUGGGGUAAUGGCCUACCAAGGCGACGACGGGUAGCCGGCCUGAGAGGGUGACCGGCCACACUGGGACUGAGAUACGGCCCAGACUCCUACGGGAGGCAGCAGUGGGGAAUAUUGCACAAUGGGCGCAAGCCUGAUGCAGCGACGCCGCGUGAGGGAUGACGGCCUUCGGGUUGUAAACCUCCUUCAAUAGGGACGAAGCGCAAGUGACGGUACCUAUAGAAGAAGCACCGGCCAACUACGUGCCAGCAGCCGCGGUAAUACGUAGGGUGCGAGCGUUGUCCGGAAUUACUGGGCGUAAAGAGCUCGUAGGUGGUUUGUCGCGUUGUUCGUGAAAACUCACAGCUUAACUGUGGGCGUGCGGGCGAUACGGGCAGACUAGAGUACUGCAGGGGAGACUGGAAUUCCUGGUGUAGCGGUGGAAUGCGCAGAUAUCAGGAGGAACACCGGUGGCGAAGGCGGGUCUCUGGGCAGUAACUGACGCUGAGGAGCGAAAGCGUGGGGAGCGAACAGGAUUAGAUACCCUGGUAGUCCACGCCGUAAACGGUGGGUACUAGGUGUGGGUUCCUUCCUUGGGAUCCGUGCCGUAGCUAACGCAUUAAGUACCCCGCCUGGGGAGUACGGCCGCAAGGCUAAAACUCAAAGGAAUUGACGGGGGCCCGCACAAGCGGCGGAGCAUGUGGAUUAAUUCGAUGNCACGCGAAGAACCUUACCUGGG
rnacentral:rRNA from 1 species